rnacentral:tRNA from 1 species
CAAAAAGUAGUUUAUAUAAAAUAAUAGAUUUGGGUUCUAUAGAAAAUUAUUUUUUUUUUGA